CAUAGAAUGCAGUCGAACGGACUUAAUCGAUUCUUUUAGAUUCGAAGCGGUUAGUGGCGGACUGGUGAGUAACACGUAAGCAACCUGCCUGUUAGAGGGGAAUAACAGUGAGAAAUCACUGCUAAAACCGCAUAUGCCGUGAACAUCGCAUGAUGAAAACGGGUAAAGAGCAAUCUGCUAAUAGAUGGGCUUGCGUCUGAUUAGCUAGUUGGUGUGGUAAAGGCAUACCAAGGCAACGAUCAGUAGCCGGACUGAGAGGUUGAACGGCCACAUUGGGACUGAGAUACGGCCCAGACUCCUACGGGAGGCAGCAGUCGGGAAUAUUGCGCAAUGGAGGAAACUCUGACGCAGUGACGCCGCGUAUGGGAAGAAGGUUUUCGGAUUGUAAACCAUUUUAGACAAGGAAGAAACAAGACAGUACUUGUAGAAUAAGCUCCGGCUAACUACGUGCCAGCAGCCGCGGUAAUACGUAGGGAGCAAGCGUUAUCCGGAUUUAUUGGGUGUAAAGGGUGCGUAGACGGGAAGGUAAGUUAGUUGUGAAAUCCCUCGGCUCAACUGAGGAACUGCGACUAAAACUGCUUUUCUUGAGUGCUGGAGAGGAAAGUGGAAUUCCUAGUGUAGCGGUGAAAUGCGUAGAUAUUAGGAGGAACACCAGUGGCGAAGGCGACUUUCUGGACAGUAACUGACGUUGAGGCACGAAAGUGUGGGGAGCAAACAGGAUUAGAUACCCUGGUAGUCCACACCGUAAACGAUGGAUACUAGGUGUAGGGGAUAUUAAGUCUUCUGUGCCGUCGCAAACGCAGUAAGUAUCCCACCUGGGGAGUACGGCCGCAAGGU
rnacentral:rRNA from 1 species